AUUGAAGCGAUCACAGAACUCGUGAUCACGCCCACUAUUUAAUCAAUGAUCAUUGAUCCGUCUCUUCCUUUUCAUGGCGGCAUGCACGUGGAGAGAAUUUCUGAUAAAUAUUUCGCGUCUAUCUCUAUAAAAGGAAAUUACAACAUAAAAAUCUGAUUCAUCUGAUGGUCCCAAUGGCUAAGUUUACAUCAUUUCUUAUGAUUGAAUGUGGGCCCAUCAUGGAGAUCAAUUUAACGCGUCGUCCUAAGCGAUGAAUAAUUGCGUUUUACACCACACUGGCUUAGUACUCAAGGAUAAUACUGCUUAGUAAUAAGGCUGAGCAUGAAGAAACGUAAUAACUCACUGAAGAGACAGAACUCUACUUCUUACAAAGAUAAGACUGUAGCCCUGAGAUGUGAGUACCAUCCUUAUCAAAUUUUCUAAUUUAAUUUUUAAAAUCCUUCAAAAUGAUGAUCUUGCGGCUCCCUCUACUGAGGUUACCCAUUAUAAAUAAUGCUGAAUACCGCCAACUGAUUGGAAAAAUCAUGAAAAUGUUUGAAAAUAGUAUUUGAACAAAGAAGUAUUGUGAUUUUUUUUUUGCAGAUAUAUGAAUGAGCCAAUGUCCCCAAGUGUUGAAAGAAGCAUCGUCAAUUUUUUUAAAAUUGUAAACGAUAUAUUUUUGUCUUGAAAUAAAGAACUUGAAAACAA